rnacentral:rRNA from 1 species
AGAGUUUGAUCCUGGCUCAGGACGAACGCUGGCGGCGUGCUUAACACAUGCAAGUCGAACGGAAAGGCCCCUUUGGGGGUACUCGAGUGGCGAACGGGUGAGUAACACGUGAGUAACCUGCCCUUGACUUCGGGAUAACUUCAGGAAACUGGGGCUAAUACCGGAUAGGAAUCCUUGCUGCAUGGUGGGGGUUGGAAAGCUUCGGCGGUUUUGGAUGGACUCGCGGCUUAUCAGCUUGUUGGUGGGGUAGUGGCUUACCAAGGCUUUGACGGGUAGCCGGCCUGAGAGGGCGACCGGCCACAUUGGGACUGAGAUACGGCCCAGACUCCUACGGGAGGCAGCAGUGGGGAAUAUUGCACAAUGGGCGGAAGCCUGAUGCAGCAACGCCGCGUGCGGGAUGACGGCCUUCGGGUUGUAAACCGCUUUCAGCAGGGGCGAAGCUUUUGUGACGGUACCUGCAGAAGAAGCACCGGCUAACUACGUGCCAGCAGCCGCGGUGAUACGUAGGGUGCGAGCGUUGUCCGGAUUUAUUGGGCGUAAAGAGCUCGUAGGUGGUUGAUUGCGUCGGAAGUGAAAACUUGGGGCUUAACCCUGAGCGUGCUUUCGAUACGGGUUGACUUGAGGAAGGUAGGGGAGAAUGGAAUUCCUGGUGGAGCGGUGGAAUGCGCAGAUAUCAGGAGGAACACCAGUGGCGAAGGCGGUUCUCUGGACCUUUCCUGACGCUGAGGAGCGAAAGCGUGGGGAGCGAACAGGCUUAGAUACCCUGGUAGUCCACGCUGUAAACGGUGGGUACUAGGUGUGGGGUCCAUUCCACGGAUUCCGUGCCGUAGCUAACGCAUUAAGUACCCCGCCUGGGGAGUACGGCCGCAAGGCUAAAACUCAAAGGAAUUGACGGGGCCCCGCACAAGCGGCGGAGCAUGCGGAUUAAUUCGAUGCAACGCGAAGAACCUUA